UUCCUUUUCUUUUUCUCUAUGCUUCUCACUUUUAUUUGUAUUUUCACACUGACAUUAACACACUCCUUAGAUAUGUGCCAGACCAGACCCUACUAGCACAUGUCUCAAUUAUUGGAUUGGUGAGUUUAGGCCCAUUAGACUCAAUUAAAUUGACCCUUUUGAGUUUUACAAUUUUAUUUUUUUUAAUCAUGGGAGGAUAAUGGAAGUUUCGAAUUCGGAAACUCCAUCCAAGUCUCUUAGAGCUCUUUUACUGGGCAAAAGACUUGUUAAAAACUGAACCAGACCUUUUCUGAUAGCAUAUAUUAAAAAUUUACUGAAGGUUGGGUAAACUAUUAUCAAAAACUAGUGUAAUGUUUACUUUCUUUUUUUUUUUUUUUUUUUUUUUUGCCAAUUGAAAAUUAAGCUCAAUUCAUUUUCAACAUGUGGGCAUAAAGUGAAUUCUAUUUGUUCCCAGGAAUCUGGACCGGGUCCAAACUGCAUAGGGUGAAAAUCUAAUGAUCACAGCAAGUACAUAAAUCUUAUAUGGUUGUUAAAUGGAGUGAGUGAGGUCUGCCAUUAAAGAGAAGAUGCAAAAGGUCUUUCUGCUAUCCACUUCUCUGUUACUUUAUAGCUUUUUGUCAGAAUCACCAAAAGCUAGAUGGAAUACGUCCCAACUCCAAUGGGGUGAUCCCAUUUUCCAUGAGAAUAUGCAGCCACAGAUAUCUAUAUAUAUGCUUUCUUUUUUUGUUUGUUUCUUCUACCUAAGAUUGGAUUCCUUUUGUGCUUCUUCCUAGAAUACAGAACUAGAGUUCAGCAGCAUGGUUUGAAGGCAGUGCACAAAAGUUGAGAAUACAUAGUGGAAAAUUCUUGACCCAGAGAAGAAAAGAAGAAAGAAAAGGUCUGGCACAAAAGUUUUACUAAUAACUAAGCUUUUGCUAUUAAUUAAAGUGCAUAUCUCUGUUUAAUUGGACAUUAGAUUGGUGAUAAAAUGGAAAUCUCAAUAUUAUUGUGAAGUUCCAUCACAGAGGCCUAGUCCCAUCAUCAUAUGUGCCCCAGCAACAACAACAACAGCCAUAUCUAAGUUAGCCCCUACCGAGAAAACAUAGAAUCCGCAGCUUUCUUUAUUGACCAUGCCAUCACACUUAGAGCCAGUUGGGGCUGUCAAAUCUGCCAAGACUUGAAGUUUUACUUGAAAAGUUUAGUGCUCUUAGAAUUAGUGCUCGAGGGCCCUAAAUUUUAUGUAUGCUUUUGUCAAUACAUUCUUAAUUGCAUUAUGAGUUGACAAUGUUCGCUUCA